rnacentral:rRNA from 1 species
AUACGAAGGUGGCGAGCGUUGUUCGGAAUCACUGGGCAUAAAGCGCACGCAGGCGGCGCGAUAAGUUGGAUGUGAAAUCCCUCGGCCCAACCGAGGAACUGCGUCCAAAACUGUCGGGCUUGAGAUCGGGAGGGGUGCACGGAAUUCCGGGUGGAGCGGUGAAAUGCGUUGAGAUCCGGAGGAACACCGGCGGCGAAGGCGGUGCACUGGUCCGAUACUGACGCUGAGGUGCGAAAGCUAGGGUAGCAAACGGGAUUAGAAACCCCAGUAGUCC